UAAGAUAACAGUGCAAGUGUUUGAAUGAGUGUUCAGAAUUGUAACCGAUCUAUCGUUAGCCUUUUCACAUGUAACAUGGUAAUAGCCUUCCAGGCAAGUGUUCAGUGCUCUGAACUUUAAUAACUGGUGCAGUAAUGCGUGGAAUUGCCACUCGUGAUAUAUUUUGGCCAUGUUGGCAAGGUAUUGCCUUGGCCUACGUAGCCUAACCUAGGCCACUACAGGGUGGCGGACGAUGACAGCAUUGUAGUAAUCUGGCUGUACAAUGUGGUGGAAACAGGAAUUUCUCUCCAAGCAUUAAUCUCGCACCGUCGAAAAUAUAAAAGUGUGUCCUGCCUCUAUGAAAAGGAAGUCCCCAGCGGAAUUCACAGGCAAAGCCCCAGCAACAUGCAAAUUAACAUCAAAGAGUUGGUGUCUGUACAUCAAGAUGUUGUUGGUCUGUCUGUGAAGGGAAGUAGCUGCUAAGGGAAUGAUGACAGAAAAAAAACAGAAAUAAGGAAAAAAAAAAAUGAAACCAGUUUUUUUGAGAAUUCAUUGGGAUCCGGCUGAAGUUUACAGUGACAUAGCAAGCGAGCCUUUGAGGAGAUGGCCAAUAUCGCCUCCUCAGGGCCGAGGCAUUUCAGCAUUGUUUGGCAUGGAGUG